GAGUAAGGGUGCUCAGCGCCCGACCUCCAACCCUUUGUUGUUAAAACUACCUUGUUGCUUUGGCGGGACCGCUCGGUUCCGAGCCGCUGGGGAUUCGUCCCAGGCGAGUGCCCGCCAGAGUUAAACCAAACUCUUGUUAUUAAACCGGUCGUCUGAGUUAAAAUUUUGAAUAAAUCAAAACUUUCAACAACGGAUCUCUUGGUUCU
rnacentral:misc_RNA from 1 species